GAUGGAAAAAACACAUUUACACCAAUGAUAAAGAAAGAGAGUGUUUAUUCUCUUUAUUUGAACUGUCCACAUCAACAGAACGUCAUAUUUCCUAUGACCAUUGAAUGCACCUCUCAGUUCACCCCACGUGAGGGCAUCUAGCUCAGCGACCAAUCAGAGCCUACGCAGGCCGCACUGACCCUGUCAGCCAGGAAGUGAGGUGAAGGUGCAUGGUGCUCCCGGGUUUUUCUCAUCUCAGCUAGAGGAGUGGAGGCAUCUGCUACUCAAACCGAGAAAUCGCAGGGACAAAAGAGAGGAAAAACUCAGAAUUGAGAGGAAGGAAAGCCAGCAUACUUACCUGCUGGAUGUCCGGAGUCGAGUGGCUGGAUGAAGGAGAGAAGCAACGUCGGCUAACCACUCACCUUUCAUCCGGAGAGCUGCUGCAAUUUCAACACCAGCGUGUGUUAGGCUUUUGUGAAACAGAGCAACGGUCAGGUUUUUGGAGAGGACAGAAAAGUUCGAGGACCAGGAC